AGUGAACGCUGGCGGUAGGCCUAACACAUGCAAGUCGAACGGCAGCACAGUAAGAGCUUGCUCUUACGGGUGGCGAGUGGCGGACGGGUGAGGAAUACAUCGGAAUCUACUUUUUCGUGGGGGAUAACGUAGGGAAACUUACGCUAAUACCGCAUACGACCUACGGGUGAAAGCAGGGGAUCUUCGGACCUUGCGCGAUUGAAUGAGCCGAUGUUGGAUUAGCUAGUUGGCGGGGUAAAGGCCCACCAAGGCGACGAUCCGUAGCUGGUCUGAGAGGAUGAUCAGCCACACUGGGACUGAGACACGGUCCAGACUCCUACGGGAGGCAGCAGUGGGGAAUAUUGGACAAUGGGCGCAAGCCUGAUCCAGCCAUACCGCGUGGGUGAAGAAGGCCUUCGGGUUGUAAAGCCCUUUUGUUGGGAAAGAAAAGCAGCAGGUUAAUACCCCGCUGUUCUGACGGUACCCAAAGAAUAAGCACCGGCUAACUUCGUG
rnacentral:rRNA from 1 species